GCAGUAGCCGCGGUAAAACGGAGGGUGCAAGCGUUAUCCGGAUUCACUGGGUUUAAAGGGUGCGUAGGCGGAUCUGUAAGUCAGUGGUGAAAUCUCCAGGCUUAACCUGGAAACUGCCGUUGAUACUAUAGGUCUUGAAUUUUGUGGAGGUUAGCGGAAUAUGUCAUGUAGCGGUGAAAUGCAUAGAUAUGACAUAGAACACCAAUUGCGAAGGCAGCUGGCUACACAACUAUUGACGCUGAGGCACGAAAGCGUGGGGAUCAAACAGGAUUAGAUACCCCCGUAGUCCCUGUCUCUUAUAC
rnacentral:rRNA from 1 species